rnacentral:rRNA from 1 species
GAUGAACGCUGGCGGCGUGCUUAACACAUGCAAGUCGAACGAUGAAGCCCAGCUUGCUGGGUGGAUUAGUGGCGAACGGGUGAGUAACACGUGAGUAACCUGCCCUUAACUCUGGGUUAAGCCUGGGAAACUGGGUCUAAUACCGGUUAGGAGCGUCCACCGCAUGGUGGGUGUUGGAAAGAUUUAUCGGUUUUGGAUGGACUCGCGGCCUAUCAGCUUGUUGGCGAGGUAAUGGCUCACCAAGGCGACGACGGGUAGCCGGCCUGAGAGGGUGACCGGCCACACUAGGACUGAGACACGGCCCAGACUCCUACGGGAGGCAGCGGUGGGGAAUAUUGCACAAUGGGCGCAAGCCUGAUGCAGCGACGCCGCGUGAGGGAUGACGGCCUUCGGGUUGUAAACCUCUUUCAGUAGAGAAGAAGCGAAAGUGACGGUACCUGCAGAAGAAGCACCGGCUAACUACGUG